rnacentral:rRNA from 1 species
GGUAUGGGAUGAGCUUGCGUCCGAUUAGCUAGUUGGCGGGGCAACGGCCCACCAAGGCGACGAUCGGUAGCCGGCCUGAGAGGGUGAUCGGCCACAUUGGGACUGAGAUACGGCCCAGACUCCUACGGGAGGCAGCAGUAGGGAAUAUUGCACAAUGGGGGAAACCCUGAUGCAGCAACGCCACGUGUGGGAAGAAGCAUUUCGGUGUGUAAACCACUGUCGUGAGGGAAUAAGGCUAUUUUUCGGAGUAGUUGAAUGUACCUCGAGAGGAAGCACCGGCAAACUUCGUGCCAGCAGCCGCGGUAAUACGAGGGGUGCAAGCGUUGUUCGGAAUCACUGGGCGUAAAGGGAGCGCAGACGGAAGCUCAAGCGGAUUGUACAAUACCGGGGCCCAACCCCGGACCUGCAGUCCGAACUGGGUUUCUUGGAUAGUUCAGGGGCAGGC